UACAUUGACUCCCUGGAGUGCCUCUUCCCUC
rnacentral:piRNA from 1 species